UGCGUAGGUGGUGAGGUAAGUCGGAUGUGAAAUCUCCAAGCUCAACUUGGAAAUGGCAUUGGAAACUACCUCGCUGGAGGUUUGGAGGGGGGGACUGGAAUUCUCGGUGUAGCAGUGAAAUGCGUAGAUAUCGAGAGGAACACCAGUGGCGAAGGCGAGUCCCUGGACAACACCUGACACUGAGGCACGAAAGCUAGGGGAGCAAACA
rnacentral:rRNA from 1 species